rnacentral:misc_RNA from 1 species
GGUUUAUCAUGCUUUAAAGAUACAAUGCAAAAGAUGGUCUUCAUACAUGCCAUAGAUAAUGCUGAUAGUAUAAAUCAUAACUCAUAGAACUCCAAUAUAGAUAAAAAAUAGUUAACAGCCACAUAACCAUAUACCUCAACCGGAUAGCCCAGCUUUCUUCCUCAGGUGCUCUUUGAAGUCCAUAAUAUCACCCUCCCACCGAGUCACAGUCUGAUUCUCACAGACCCAGAUCUCCUUCGCCACCUGAUUAAUCAACCGAAAAUCAUGGCUCACCAACACCAACCCACCAUCCCACUCGUUCAAAGCCUCAGCCAAUGAAUCAAUAGUCUCAAUGUCAAGAUGGUUAGUCGGCUCAUCAAGCAAUAGCAACUGUGGCUGCCUCCAGGCAAGCCAAGCGAAAAUCACCCUACUCCUCUGGCCGUCAGACAAGUUCUUCAUCGGCAUCACCUGAGCUUUUCCUGUCAGUCCAAAUCGACCAACCACGGCCCUCAUCUUCUCCUCCUCGAUCCCAGGGUAUUCCUUCAUCAUAUACUGAAGGGCCGACAAAUCCAUUUCUAGCUGCUCAGCCAGAUGCUGAUGGAACUGUGCAAUUCUCAGAUGAUUGUGACGACGAACCAUACCAUCAGUUGAAACAAGAUCACCAGUCAUCAGUUUCAGGAGUGUGCUCUUCCCUGCCCCAUUAGGACCCACCAGUGCUAUCCUAGAAUCAAGAUCCACCCCGAAGUCGAUGUUCUUGUAGAUGAGGCUGUCGGGAGUGUACCCGAAGGAGACUUCAACAAAUUGCAGUACCGGAGGGGGGAGUUUACCAACAUCGGUGAAGCGGAAGACUAAGACCUUGUCCCUAGCCACCUUCUCUGUAAGCCCGCCACGCUCCAUCUUGGCAAGGGUCUUCUCUUUGCUCUGAGCUUGACGGGCCAGCUUGGCAGAGCCGUGUCCGAACCGAGCAAUGUACUCCUUCAUGUUAGAUAUCUGCUCCUGUUCCCACUUAUACUGUUUCAUUUGAUUCUCCUCAAGCUCUGACCGGGUCUGGACAUACUGGUCAUAGUUACCGGUGUAGAACUUGAGCUUCUUGUUUUGCAUGUGUAUGAUGUUUGUGCAGACCCCAUUGAGAAAAUCUUGAGAGUGAGAUACGACUACAAGGAUUCGCUCAAAUUUCUUUAACAUUUCUUCCAACCAGACGCACGCUUCAAGAUCAAGAUGAUUUGUAGGCUCAUCAAGUAGAAGAAUAGUUGGGUUCAUAAACAGUGCUCGUGCUAGUGCAAUCCUCAUUCGCCAUCCACCAGAAAAGUCCCGGGUUUUCUUAGCUUGCAUUUGCUUGGUAAAACCAAGUCCAAACAAAAUCUCAGCAGCACGCUUCUCGGCUGUUGCUGCAUCCAACGCUUCUAAGCGCUCAUAAAUACGUUCUAAAGUAUCACCACCACCGCCGUCCUCGGCUGCUAAAAGUUCAGCUUCUUUUUCUAAUCUCAUCCUCUCCUCAUCACAGUUGAAGACGGCCUCAAGUGAAGACAUAUCUGAGGCUUCAAUCUCCCGGCUCAGGUGAUAAAUAUCCAUGUGAUCAGGAAUUGGCAGCUCUCUGUGUCCUAUAGCUGUAAGGAGUGUAGAUUUACCACAUCCAUUCAAACCAAGAAGACCAUAACGCCUGCCAUAGUUAAGCUCCAGUUCAGAAUCUACUAUGAGAUCAUGGCCAUGAAAAGUAACAGAUAAAGACUCUAUAUGAAUAUCUCUAGACAUGGGAUGAGAACAGAGCACCCCGGUACACGUCCGAUCCGAGAUCUGGAGCGCUCCAACACCAUUAGAAAUCUUCUCCACCCCAUUAGCACCCUUCGACGACCCCGCCGCCGACGAUUUCGCCCCCCUCUUCGCCGCCGCCGCCUUCUUCUUGUCUGCCGCCUUCUUCUUGCUCGCGUCCGACACCAUCUCUUCAAAAAAUUGAAACGGCGACGGAUUUAUUAGGGUUCCGGGUGAUAUUUGGUGAUGAGUCUGUCGAUCUGGGGCCGAUUUCGCUAAUCUCUCGCGGAGUUGGAGGCGGCGAGAGGGGAGGGAUCUG